CAGCAGCCGCGGGAAUACAGAGGAUGCAAGCGUUAUCCGGAAUGAUUGGGCGUAAAGCGUCUGUAGGUGGCUUUUCAAGUCCGCCGUCAAAUCCCAGGGCUCAACCCUGGACAGGCGGUGGAAACUACCAAGCUGGAGUACGGUAGGGGCAGAGGGAAUUUCCAGUGGAGCGGUGAAAUGCGUUGAGAUCGAAAAGAACACCAACAGCGAAAGCACUCUGCUGGGACGACACUGACACUAAGAGACGAAAGCUAGGGGAGCAAAUGGGAUUAGAUACCCGCGUAGUCCCUGUCUCUUAUAA
rnacentral:rRNA from 1 species